GGGAGUAUAGCUCAGUGGUAGAGCACUUGCCUCAAAUGCAAAAGGCCCUGGGUUCAAUCCCCAACAUCACCA